AGCGUAGGUGGUCGGGUAAGUCAGAUGUCAAAUUUCGAUGCUCAACGUCGAAUCGCAUUUGAUACUGCCUGGCUAGAGGAAUUGAGAGGAGGCCGGAAUUCACGGUGUAGCAGUGAAAUGCGUAGAUAUCGUGAGGAAGACCAACGGCGAAAGCAGGCCUCUGGAAAUCCCCUGACACUGAGGCUCGAAGGGCCAGGGAGCAAACG
rnacentral:rRNA from 1 species